rnacentral:rRNA from 1 species
AAGGUAGCUUGCUACUGGACCUAGCGGCGGACGGGUGAGUAAUGCUUAGGAAUCUGCCUAUUAGUGGGGGACAACAUUCCGAAAGGAAUGCUAAUACCGCAUACGCCCUACGGGGGAAAGCAGGGGAUCUUCGGACCUUGCGCUAAUAGAUGAGCCUAAGUCGGAUUAGCUAGUUGGUGGGGUAAAGGCCUACCAAGGCGACGAUCUGUAGCGGGUCUGAGAGGAUGAUCCGCCACACUGGGACUGAGACACGGCCCAGACUCCUACGGGAGGCAGCAGUGGGGAAUAUUGGACAAUGGGCGGAAGCCUGAUCCAGCCAUGCCGCGUGUGUGAAGAAGGCCUUUUGGUUGUAAAGCACUUUAAGCGAGGAGGAGGCUCCUUUAGUUAAUACCUAAAGUGAGUGGACGUUACUCGCAGAAUAAGCACCGGCUAACUCUGUGCCAGCAGCCGCGGUAAUACAGAGGGUGCGAGCGUUAAUCGGAUUUACUGGGCGUAAAGCGUGCGUAGGCGGCUUCUUAAGUCGGAUGUGAAAUCCCUGAGCUUAACUUAGGAAUUGCAUUCGAUACUGGAAAGCUAGAGUAUGGGAGAGGAUGGUAGAAUUCCAGGUGUAGCGGUGAAAUGCGUAGAGAUCUGGAGGAAUACCGAUGGCGAAGGCAGCCAUCUGGCCUAAUACUGACGCUGAGGUACGAAAGCAUCGGGAGCAAACAGGAUUAGAUACCCUGGUAGUCCAUGCCGUAAACGAUGUCUACUAGCCGUUGGGGCCUUUGAGGCUUUAGUGGCGCAGCU